CCCCAGCCCUGCAAGGGUAAGAUACAGGCUCGUCAUCUGUGCACGCGUCCAUCUGAGUGGGACGUGAGUCCUGGCAGCUGCCGCCACCGCGCCGGUCCCUCCUGUAAUCCAAGCCUGGUGUCCGAGGACGCGAGGCAAGCGCCGCGGCUCGGGUUGCCCUAAACGCGCUGGUCUAUCAUGCCACCGUCCAACACAAUUAGCCGCUGACACCAGGUGCUGCCUGGCUCUCGCCACGUUGCACUUCUCGCGUUUCUCGUAACGGUGUUUGUCAAGUGCGCCCCCUUUUCAAUGAGCCGCGCUGCGCCCUCCACUUCCGCAUCCAACUGCGCAGGUGCCGGGGCCUCGGCGCCGCGUCUGGCAAACCCGCUCUGCUAAGCGCGGCGUCUGGCCCAGUGGGGGCGAAACGGGAAGGCCUGUCACAAAGCAAAGCGUUUUCCACGUGCUGCGGCUGAAGCCACUCCCCUUUUGUGCAUGCUUCCAGAAGAGACGAAGGAAAGCGUCUACACAUAAGCUCAGUUGGAGUGUAUAUCAAUUCAACGACUAAUUUCCACCACCAGUGAGCCAAGUAUUAAACACUACUUGAAUAUACCCUUCGGUUAUCAUCAACCUAAUACAUACGUAUCAACUGCUUUCAUUGGGGACAAAAAUGAAGGUUAUUGAAAAGAAUCAUGCUUGGUAGAAGACGUAAUUACAUUUUUUUUCAAAUGUCAGAGGAAUAAUGCUUUUAUAUUUCCUGAGAUGACCCAAUUUGCACUACGAUAUGCUCCCUUAAAUGAGAAAAACAACGAUAGCCCAUAGAUGAUCUGAAGACAGAAUGAAUUGGAACGCUUGUGCUUGGAAGGAAAGUGAAGUUUUUUGUACAGUCAAGGUCUCCAGCCUGCUGAAUGCAGAUCUUGGACUUCUCAGCCUCCACAGUCAUAUGCAGGAGUGAUAAAGGGGAACUGAGGACUAAAUUGUUUCAAUGGUCUUCCUAAGGGGCCUGGAAGAAGUCACGUCUACAAGCCAGAACUUACAUAUCUUUCUGCUGACCCAAAAUUUUUAAACAAAACUUUUCUUCCUUAACCAACUGCAAAUCAGAAAAAUCUUAGAAUCUACUUAUGACCUGUAAGCCUCUGCUUCAAGAUAUCCCAUCUUUUUAAACCAAAGCAAUGAAUAAGCUCCAUAUAUUGAUUUAUGAUUUUGCCUGUAACUUUUGCUUUCUUGAAAUAUACCCAUUUCUUUAAAGACAAUUGCUUGAAAGCCAUCAGGAAGAUGGGUCUGAUGCAUGCACUGCCACAUUCUCCGUGCCUGGUACCCUGCAAAUAAAUGCCUUCCAUUCUGCAGUGGCAAACCUCAGUGUGAAUAUUUGGCCACUGUGUGAAUAUUAACCCACUGUAUGAGUGGACUCACUUUAGUUUGGUAACAAAACCUAUGGGGAAUAUAAAAAGCUCUAACAUACACAUUAUUGGUGUUAUAGGAGACAAAAAGAAACAAGUAGGAAAAAAUAUUUUAGGAGGUGAUGACCAAAAAUUUCUCAAAGCCAGAGUUUUUAUAAGCUCAUGAUCCUCCUAUAGGGUGCAUACAAAUAAUACCACAUAUUUUCUCAUAAGCAUUAGACUGCUGAAAACCAAGGAAAAAGACAGACUCCUAAACCUGGCUGACAGAAAUGUCAUAAUGUUUAGAACAAAAAGGCAAUUUAUCAUUGGCUCUCUAUUAGAAAAAUUGGAGGCCAGAAAAUUGUGAAAUACUGUCUUAAAAAGCUCUAGGAGAAAAAAAUAUAUGUACACACACAUGUAUAUUUAUACACACAUAUACAUAUAUAUCAACCCAGAAAUGUACAGUGAAAAUAUUUUUUAAGAGUAAAAGCAAAUUAAAUACACUUCCAAAUCAAAGAAGAGUAAAAGAUUAGUCAGAAGAAGAACUAUGCUAUAAAAAAGUAAAGAUCUUCAGGCAGAAGGGACAUGGUGCCAGAUAGAAACCCACGUGUUUAGAAUUGAAUAAAAAAGAAGUCACUGGAAAUGUGUAAAUGGAAAUGGUAAAUACUCAAGAUGUGAGGAAUUAACGAAGAUUUUUUAGUAUAAGUCUGAAUUAUUCGUGAGCUUGUUAUUCAGUUACUAAUCUGUGAAAUGUUCCAAGAAAAUACAAAGAACAUUUCAAAGAUAUAUAGCUAUGAUAUUGUAAAAUGUAUAUUUGUUCCUUUACCCUGUUUCUGGCAAUACAAUUUUUAAAAAUCCUUAGAAUCUCCAAAGUGGUGUCUUUUUUUAUGGUAAUGAGUUGACUGACAGCUGGUAAGUCCUGGGCAGCUUGAAGUUGGGGGUUGGUCAUCUGAAUGACCUAAGCAGGGUUAGAGGAUUGGGACAUUCAACUCCAACCUUCAAGGAGGGGAGAAGGGCUGCAGGCUUAAUCUUAAACAUGACUGAGAAAAAUGUCAUCGUUUUAUAAAAACAAACUGUAAUUGGCUUUUCAUUAAAAAAAAUGAAGGCAAGAAAAUAGUGAAAUAUGGUCUUAUAAGUUCUUAAAAAAAAAAAA